rnacentral:lncRNA from 1 species
UCUAUAGAGGAGCAGAGUUGGGGAAUAGGGGCCUAAACUCUGCUUGCUGCUGCUAAGUCACUUCAGUCUUGUCCAACUCUGUGCGACCCCAUAGACGGCAGCCCACUACGCUCCUCUGUCCCUGGGAUUCUCCAGGCAAGAAUACUGGAGUGGGUUGCCAUUUCCUUCUCCAAUGCAUGAAAGUGAAAAGUGAAAGUGAAGUCUCUCAGUUGUGCCCAACUCUUAGAGACCCCAUGGACUGCAGCCUACCAGGCUCCUCCGUCCAUGGGAUUUUCCAGGCAAGGCUGGGUUUAAAUCCCAGCUUCGCCACUUUCUACUGUGUGACCUCAGGCAAGUUAAUCAACUUCUCUGUCUCUCAUUUUCCUCGCCUAUAAAAGCGGGGAUAAUAAUAUUACCGAGAAAAUGGGUUGCUGAGAGACUAGACCAGCCAAUAUUUGUGAAGUGUUGAUAAUGGGCCUGCUACAGCAGAAGAGCAAAGUGAGUAUUGGUUUUUAUUCUACUCCUGAGAAUUCUCCACCCCGGGGUUCCAAGGCUCCAUCCCCUGGAGCGCCCCACCCCAUCUCCCUACACAAGCCUCCUUGCAACUGCCAGCUUCUAGCUUCCACCAGCAGGAACCGCUCUCUCCUGGGUCCUUCUCCCUCCUCCCCUUCCCUGUUCCUGGUUCCUACAAAUGAGAUUGGUGGAGAGAGCAGUGGUUGUAUGUGUAGGAAUAGUAAGCCGGGCAGCCAGUCUCCAGUCUCAGCUGCCUGCCUGGGGAGCUGCCAGGCUCCGCGUGCUUGGCUGACCACCCCUGUCUGUCCUGGGAAUCAGGGCUUUCCCAAGGGCAAGGGCAGGGAGGUGCUGUAUGGUGAAUUCUCCGCCCAUAGCUCCGCCUCUCAUCCUCCUGUUUGUAAUUUUUCCCAAAGAAGAGAGAACCGUUAUUUCUUCAAAGGACCGCCUUCUCUCGAACACCGGCUCAUCCUGAAGUCGCAUCUCUCCAACACAGGAGAAUUCAUUUCCCGAGAGUCCACCCGGCAAUCAGCGGGUUCCCAGAUUUCUUUCCCAUUUAGGUCACCACUGAGCACUGAGUCACUUUUAAAUAGAAGGAAGAGCAAAGAGUCAGACACGACUGAGCAACUAACACACAAGAGCCAAGGAGGAGCUGGGCAGGGUUGUAACCGGGAGAGUGACGUGCUGCUCUAGAGAAGGAUGAACAAUGCUCGAGGUGGAGGAAGACAUAAGAGGAGCUUGGAGCAGGAGCCGGCCUCUGCCUUCCCGGUGGCAGCCCCAGAAGAAACACAGAGGACCACAUCCCCAAGGGAGACGCCUCGUGGAUUUCUGCUAGAAGGCUGGCAAUGGGUCCCAAUCUGAGUUUUAAAAAAUUUUAGGGGACAAGCAAAGGCCCUUAGAUGAUGACCCCCUUGGUUGUUCAGCCAACGGGCAGGAGACCCAGCAGAUGUUUUGGAGCCUUUGCCAAAAAAUCAGCAGGAGUCAUCCUUGGCCGUGGACUGAAGGGCGGGAGGUGGGGGCAGGGCAGCCAAAAGCCCUGGAGGCUAGAGUUUCUCCUGACUAUUCUACCACCAGAACAGGAAUGGAAAAAGCUACGAAGGGCUGCAGAGGGUCCAGAAGAAACCCUGGGGGGAAAGCCGAAUUUCUGUGUGCAGAGCGUUCAGGAAGUUCAGAAUGGAGCUGCAUGCGCAACUGGAUGGGGCCCUUGGUUUGGACCCCACGAGUGGCUCCUCCAUGGAUCUUUCAGGACCAAAGGGCCCUGGAGGACAGCAGGGUCUCCGUUCAGUCUGCCCACACUCUCCGCUCCUUCUGGGAUCUCACUGGUGGGCACCAGGUCUUUCUUCCAUGUGUAUGAGCCCUCCCUGGGGAGACACGGAGAAAUGGGGCUCAGAAGGAGCUGGAGGGAAGUGCUGACCUCCCAGGAGGCCAGCUCGAGGCCUCCCCCUUCCCUGACCCUGCCCCCCCCCCCACCCCCGUGUUCUCUGUGUCUUCCUGCCUGUGAGACUUCUGUGUUCCGGGGGAGUCGCCUCUGCCUCCUCUAGGGGUCUGGCAUCUGCUGUCACAAACCGGCCGGUCUUGGAUGCUGCAGUGGGGACAGAAAGAAGACCGAUUUUGUCCUCAGCACGCUCAGAGACAGGUGUGGGCAGGUGACACCCGCCUAUGCACGAGGAGACACGUGCAAGAAUGUGAGAAUGGUAACAAAGCUAAAAAUAAAGCCAAAGAAAACCAGCUUGAAAUGUCCCUGCGAAGUGUGGUUGUGCUUAAAGAUUUU